UACGAAGGGGCUAGCGUUGCUCGGAAUCACUGGGCGUAAAGCGCACGUAGGCGGCUUACUAAGUCAGGGGUGAAAUCCUGGAGCUCAACUCCAGAACUGCCUUUGAUACUGGUGAGCUUGAGUCCGGAAGAGGUGAGUGGAACUGCGAGUGUAGAGGUGAAAUUCGUAGAUAUUCGCAAGAACACCAGUGGCGAAGGCGGCUCACUGGUCCGGUACUGACGCUGAGGUGCGAAAGCGUGGGGAGCAACAGGG
rnacentral:rRNA from 1 species